CAGUAGGUGAGAGAGGGAUCACACAGUGAGAGGGCUGAGCAGAUGUUCCCUUCCCUAAGCAGCACUCAUCCUGGACUCUGCAGGAGAGCUUAUUGCAGGACCUUUUUCUGGUGCCCUUAUCCUGGCUGAGUUCUGCUACUACAGGACCACGACACUAGCAGAGAAGCAGAA
rnacentral:lncRNA from 12 species